AACACUGCAGGGUUAUUUUAUUGAUGAACAAAAAGACAUGCAGACAAAUAAAACAUUUCAUGUUUCACAAAUGCUUCUGUUUUUCUUUUCCUUUUCGAUUAAAAAAUUUUCAAAAAUAAAAAACAAUAAAAAAAGCAUCAUUACAUGAAGCUUCAGUGAGAUUUGACAGGCAGAUGUGAGGGAGAGCUGAGGGGUGGGGGAGAAAAAAAAAACCUGAUGUUUGCCCUGCAUGAUGGCCGCUGUCAGUUCUGCUCGGCUGGAACACAGAGGAGGUGAGUCAGGUGUGUGUGUGUGUGUGUGUGUGUGUGUGUGUGUGUGUGUGUGUGUGUGUUGUGUA